UACGUAGGGUGCGAGCGUUGUCUGGAAUUAUUGGGCGUAAAGAGCUCGUAGGCGGCCUGUCGCGUCGGAUGUGAAAGCCCGGGGCUUAACCCCGGGUCUGCAUUCGAUACGGGCAGGCUAGAGUGUGGUAGGGGAGACUGGAAUUCCUGGUGUAGCGGUGAAAUGCGCAGAUAUCAGGAGGAACACCGGUGGCGAAGGCGGGUCUCUGGGCCGAUAUUGACGCUGAGGAGCGAAAGCGUGGGGAGCAAACAGG
rnacentral:rRNA from 1 species